rnacentral:rRNA from 1 species
UACAGAGGUCUCAAGCGUUGUUCGGAUUCAUUGGGCGUAAAGGGUGCGUAGGUGGCAGGGUAAGUCGGAUGUGAAAUCCCGGGGCUCAACCUCGGAACUGCAUUCGAUACUGCUUUGCUGGAGUACUGGAGAGGAGAUUGGAAUUUACGGUGUAGCAGAUGAAAUGCGUAGAUAUCGUAAGGAAGACCAGUGGCGAAGGCGGAUCUCUGGACAGUUACUGACACUGAGGCACGAAGGCCAGGGGAGCAAACGGG